rnacentral:tRNA from 1 species
GGGUAUAGCUCAGUGGUAAAAGCAUGCUUAGCAUGCAUGAGGUCCUGGGUUCAAUACCCAGUACCUCCA